UACGUAGGGUGCGAGCGUUGUCCGGAAUUAUUGGGCGUAAAGCGGGUGUAGGUGGCUUUGUAAAGUCGGGUGUGAAAGCCCAGGGCUCAACCCUGGAAGUGCAUUCGAUACUGCAAAGCUUGAGUGCCAGAGAGGUUACUAGAAUACCUGGUGUAGUGGUGAAAUACGUAGAUAUCAGGAGGAACACCGAUGGCGAAGGCAGCUCGCUGGGACGGUACUGACGCUGAGGCGCGAAAGCGUGGGGAGCAAACAGG
rnacentral:rRNA from 1 species